rnacentral:rRNA from 1 species
CCAGCAGCAUAGCAGGGUAGCUAAAUAUGGAAGGGAUAACCGCUGAAGGCAUCUAAGCGGGAAACCCACCUGGAAACUAGUUUUCCCUGAGAAUCGUCGAAGACUACGACGUUGAUAGGCUAGGUGUGGAAGCGCGGUAACGUGUGAAGCUUACUAGUACUAAUAAUUCGAUAGGCUUGAUCAUUCUCAUU